rnacentral:rRNA from 1 species
AGCGAACGCUGGCGGCAGGCUUAACACAUGCAAGUCGAGCGGGCACUUUCGGGUGUCCGCGGCGGACGGGUGAGUAACGCGUGGGAACGUGCCCUCUGGUUCGGAAUAACUCAGGGAAACUUGAGCUAAUACCGGAUACGCCCUUUUGGGGAAAGGCUUGCUGCCGGAGGAUCGGCCCGCGUCUGAUUAGCUAGUUGGUGCGGUAACGGCUCACCAAGGCGACGAUCAGUAGCUGGUCUGAGAGGAUGAUCAGCCACACUGGGACUGAGACACGGCCCAGACUCCUACGGGAGGCAGCAGUGGGGAAUAUUGGACAAUGGGCGCAAGCCUGAUCCAGCCAUGCCGCGUGAGUGAUCAAGGCCUUAGGGUUGUAAAGCUCUUUUAUCCGGGACGAUAAUGACGGUACCGGAGGAAUAAGCCCCGGCUAACUUCGUG